AGCAGCUCCGGUGCUUCCUCCAUCGAUAAUGGUGGGGACGACGACGACGGUUGGCUGGGUAGUCGAGAUGUUGAGCUCCAGGUUCACGCUCUGCUCCUUGGGCCUGAUCCAGCUUUUCUUCAAGGUCUUCCUGUUCAGGUCAAGGCACUGCUCCCAGUCGAGGGGCAGGGGGUCAUUGAGCUGGAGCUCCAGGUUGGCGUGCGACACGGGCUCCUCCCAGGUGAAGUGCUUCCUCUUCUUCCUGGAGCUGCCGUCUGACUCCGACGAUGAGCUCUUGGUGCUCUUGGUGGUGGAGGAGACGAAGCCUGGCGCCGGCCACGUCGGCCCUAGUGAGAGCUCCGGCUGCAGCUCCAUCCUCUUCACACUCAGGCUGAUCAUGAGUUAAUGGAGCACCAUCAAGUGUUUUGACAGUUUUCUGGAGCAGGAUCUUUUGCAAACGAUGUGUGUAAAUUGGUUGUGACCAGCAAAAACUUGUGCUUCUCCAUGGAAGUCAUUGCAUACCUGUAAGAACUGUUGGUUGCUCGUUGUGAAGAUUAGAGGGAUGAAUUAGUACAACAGCCAGACCUAUGUGCCUACCUACAUUUAUAAUUUGAAGACCAUACCGAUAUAGACAAUAAAUUGAGGAUGAACCCAUGAGGGUUUCUGUUGUUUGCAAUGAUGAUGUCAAGUAGAUCAAGAGGGGAUCCUUGAGACCGGCAGCAAGAAGGAAGCUGGGGACUCGCGGGUUGAUGGGAGAUUCUACUAAAUAUAAUUCAAUUGAUCUGGUUCCAUAAGCUGAGCGAGACGAAGCCCACAUGUUAGUGACGACAAACAUGAUAGACCCACCUGUCAGUGGCAGUGUGGCACCACGAUGGGCUUCAACAGCGACAGGUGAAGUAUAUAUCUAAUUAUCUACUCCCUACGUCCCAUAAAAAACUAAUCUAGUACUGGAUGUGAUAUAUCCCACUAUGAAUCUGGUACUAGGAUAUGUCACAUUCAGUCCUAAUUCGUUUUUUUGACAGAGGAAGUACUACCAGCUACAUCGAAAUCAGCUUCCGAUGUCGUUAUCUAUUUUCCGAAGAGUGUUUUUGCUUGCAGACCAGACGAUGAUGAUAAAAGAUGCUCGCAUGUGUGCGUAAAUUAAUAUGGUCCAUGCCGGGCGGCCCCUGCGUGUGUGAUGCGGUGCGGUGUGUUGCACAAAUUGAAGGAGCUCGCCUAUGUUGUUGGGUGGCGAUUGGCGUUGGCCCCCCCAUUCCGAGGCAGUGAAUGGAUGGACGGACAGGCAGUACUUUGGCCCCCUAUUUAUGUGAUGUGAGCGACUUCUACUUUGACAGGACGUUCGCAUGUGGUUUUCCUGCCAUGGAACCUUCUCAAGCCUGCCAUGGAUUUCAUCGUCCACUGCAUGGUGCCUUUCGUCGCACUUCUCUUGCUAACACAACCUUGAUGAUCUUCAAGUGCAAACUGCAAUCAGAUCGAUCAAUAUCUGUUUUUGCUCAAAUUAAGUACCAUUCAAAACUGUUCAGAAUGCAGAGGUUGGUCUGUCUGUCUGUCUGUCUCUUGUGAAAAGAAUAUGAAUCAGCAGUGGUGGAGGUGAGCUCAGAUUGGAAGUGGCCAAAUACUAUGCAUGAAUUCGGCAACUGGUAAAUUUUCUUGUUCUUUCCCCUCCUUUCCCUAUUCAUCUCCUUCGUUUUUGACACGCGCUCUUUCCAAACUUCUAAAUAGUGUUUUUUAUAAAAGAAAUUUCUAAACGAAAGUUGCUUUAAAAAUCAUAUUAAUUUAUUUUUCAAAAAAUAGUUAAUACAUAAUGAAUUUAUGUGCUAAUGAGUCACUUUGUUUUGCGUGCGUGAGGGAUUAUUUCCUAACACCAACAAAAGAACACAGUCUAAGUGUUGUUGCUUAGGGCAAGUUUUAUAGUAGAGAUGAUUACCACAUUUAAUUUCGUGCAUGACAUACACCAUUAAAUUAAGAUGUGUAAUAAGUUACAUCUACUAUACAAUUUUCAAUAUCUCUAACACUCACAUCCUGUUUA